UCCAUAUCAAAUUAAAUCAGUGAAUAUCUUCUCUAAAUUGUUAAUCUAAAUCAGUUGAAUUCAAGAAUCAAUCCAUUUCAAAUAAACGCUAACUUUCACAGCUUCAUUUUUUAUCAUUUUCAAAAUCGAAUUGGGUGAAUUCAAUUGGAUUUCAUCAAGAAGAAGAAGAUCCACAUAUUGUAAGGAGCUAAAAUCAGUUGAAAGUAUUGAGAUUCUACCUUCUAUCGGAAAAAUACAAGCGGAACAGCCAAAGAAACAAAGAAAAAUAUCAUUUUGGGAGAGAAAAAAACCCGAUGUAGAUAACGAGAAGACAAUAAAAAAACUUGUCGUGGUCUAGAAAGCACGGAAACGUUGAAGUCCCAACGUUUCCGCGUUUCCUAACGUUUCCGAAACGGGAACGUUAGGAAACUCCUCCAAAACGUUUCGGGCUCAUCUGCAAAUAAAAAAAAUAUUAUUCAAAUCACCCUUAUGUUUCAGAAACCCAUAUUUUCUUCUUAUCGAUUACUUCUGAUUGAAUCUUUCUCUGCUCAUCUGAAAAUGGCUGCCGCCGCACCGAUCAUCUGAAUUCGGCUUGAAGGAAAGUUUUUGAUUUCAAUUAUAUAAAUUUCAUUUUGGAUCCGAUUUCAGCCGAUAAAAAGAUUGGAAAAAGUUUGUAUUUGUUGAUGAAUUUUAAUUUCAAAAUGUGUUCUGCAAUUUUA